CCUACGGUAUGCAGCAGUGGGGAAUAUUGCGCAAUGGGCGAAAGCCUGACGCAGCGACGCCGCGUGAGGGAUGAAGGUCUUCGGAUCGGAAACCUCUGUCAGCAGGGAAGAACGGUCACUGUGCUAAUCAGCAGUGAAUUGACGGUACCUGCAAAGGAAGCACCGGCUAACUACGUGCCAGCAGCCGCGGUAAUACGUAGGGUGCGAGCGUUAAUCGGAAUUAAUGGGCGUAAAGGGUGUGCAGGCGGCUGAGUAAGACAGAUGUGAAAUCCCCGGGCUUAACCUGGGAACCGCAGAUGUGACUGGUUGGCUAGAGUGCGUGAGAGGGAGGUGGAAUUCCACGUGUAGCAGUGAAAUGCGUAGAUAUGUGGAAGAACACCGAUGGCGAAGGCAGCCUCCUGGGACGCAACUGACGCUCAUACACGAAAGCGUGGGGAGCAAACAGGAUUAGAGACCCGAGUAGUC
rnacentral:rRNA from 1 species